rnacentral:lncRNA from 1 species
CAUAAGGUUUAUGACCAUAAAAGGAAGGUUGGGUUUGAUUUUGGGAGUUUUGGUCCUAACAGUUUAGGAAUAAGGGGCCCAAAGGGUCCAAAAUUGAACUUUGUGUGAUUUCAUCAAAAAUUGAAUAAUUGAGGUUCUUUGAUAUGCCGAAUCUAACUAUGUAUGUAGAUUCUUAAUUUUUGGUCCCGUUUUCAAAUUGGUCUACAU